AGUUCAGUGAUUUCAACAUCUAUGCACAGCAAGCUGGAACAAGGAAAACAGCCACAGCCUUCCAAAUAUAAGGUCUAACACCGGGGAGCACAGGCACACGGAGUCACACACGGGGAAAACUGCACAUGUAACACCAGAGUGCUUCAACACCACACUUCCUAGGGCUAUGUUCUUUAUAAUAUAGGUAUGAAUCACUCCCCGCCAUGGCAACUGCGCAAUCGAGCUGAGAAGAAACGCUUCGGCCCUCGGGGUACGCGCGGCCCCCACAAGAGCCGGCCAUCAGCGGGCUGCCGCCCCGCCCCAGCCCUAGCCCCCUCAGGUGCACCACCCGCCGCCUGGGGGCACCAACAGCGCGGGAAGCCGCGGCCCCGUCGACCACCGCUGCCCCUCACGAGGGAGCGACGAGGCCCAGCGCCCGCCGACUGACCGCCCCCCGGGGGGUGGUCCGCUGUCCCUAGCCGACCGACCGCCCCUCCGGGAGCGCCGCAGCCCUCGUAGCGACCGCCCUCCGCGGGGGAGCGAGAAGGAGUGCUGUCUGUGCAGAGCCAUUUGUGCCCUUGGGAAGCAUCAGUGCAAGAAAACAAGCUGGAGUCUCACAGUUCUCAAUGGAGAGCCUUGGAGAACUCAUAUUGAUACUGUUUCACUGUGUCUUUUUCCCUCUCUGUGACAGAAUAAUAAAGUAUAAAAGAUUUCAAGGCACAGAAAAUAUAAGAACUAAUUGGACAAGCUUCACUUCGACUGUGAAUAAGUUUUCAGAUAAAUCUGGAUUAAGAAAUGGCAUUCCUGCAGACUGUACUUCAUUCAAAGCCAGGACUCAAAAAUCUUCAUAGCUUUCAUGUGUUUACAAAAGAACAAAUACUGCAUAAAUACCACAUGGGCUCAUCUUGCACACAGUGUGUGUGCACAGUCAGGGUGCUCCGUGGGCUGCAAAAACCUUUAUUCAAAGGUGAACUUUGCCAAACUUCUCCCCAGUGGGUCAGAAGACACUGCAAGGGCAUACUCUAGACCAGUGUUGAGACCAAAUAGUCAUAUGAGAAGAAGCCUUUGAGAAGUAUUUUGAAAGCCUAUCUGAUUUCAGGAUUUAUAAUAUUUAAAUUUCCAUGAUGUUCUACUCAACUGAGAAGGAGAACUGAGCAGCCCAGGCCCGAUUUUGAAAGCAGAGUCUGCCUUUUAACUUUCACUCUUCUAUUCAUACUUCCCUAUCCUACACUACUCACCAAGAAUGACGGCUAUUUUCCAAAGUCCUGCACAGCCAACAUCCCACUGCCAGAUUCAUAUAAGUAAUGAUAAUGAGGUAGUGAAAUCUAAACUUCAUUUAUUUUGGUAAUUUUAAUAAUGAUAGUUCAUAAUGUUGUAGAUGUCAAGUUUGGCACUUAGAUUGUGCUAAAUCCAAAGCUUUAAAUUCAGUGCUGUAAUUUAACUCUGCCAAA